rnacentral:rRNA from 1 species
GAUGAACGCUGGCGGCGUGCCUAAUACAUGCAAGUCGAGCGAACAGACGAGGAGCUUGCUCCUCUGACGUUAGCGGCGGACGGGUGAGUAACACGUGGAUAACCUACCUAUAAGACUGGGAUAACUUCGGGAAACCGGAGCUAAUACCGGAUAAUAUAUUGAACCGCAUGGUUCAAUAGUGAAAGACGGUUUUGCUGUCACUUAUAGAUGGAUCCGCGCCGCAUUAGCUAGUUGGUAAGGUAACGGCUUACCAAGGCAACGAUGCGUAGCCGACCUGAGAGGGUGAUCGGCCACACUGGAACUGAGACACGGUCCAGACCCCAAGGGGAGGCAGCAGUAGGGAAUUUUCCGAAAGGGGAGAAAGCCUGAGGGGGCAACGCCGGGGGGGGGAAGAAGGUUUUCGGAUCGUAAAACUUUGUUAUUAGGGAAAAAAAAAUGGGAAAGUAACUAUGCACGUCUUGACGGUACCAAAUCAGAAAGCCACGGCUAACUACGU